CAAGAAUCAAGUGAGCAGAAUAUAAAUAAGUAACAGAAUUCUCCACUUUGAUACAGGGAGUUAAAAUAUUGUAAAAGCUAAAUCUCAAGUAAACAGCUAUGCUUGCUGAUUUUAUUUUGGUGUUUGCAAAGCUUUGAGUAUGCAGAUAAAUGUGUGUGUCAGUCAGAGGAGCAGCUGCAUUAGUAAGGAACCAGCUAGUACGUUCUCAAAAAAUGAGAGCUGUCAACUGGGAGUUUUUCUUUAAUGCAGUUCUUUUCCUAUGUCUUGGCAAGUGUCCUGAGAAAAUAAACAUAUGUGUAUGCUCUCUUUACUUUGCAUAGGUUUGAGUCUCCACAGGCCUCUCUGUCUUGAUAUCCAUUUUCUUCAACAAAUGCAGACUUUUUGUACAGAACUCUUGUCACUGUGGAAGAUGUUUGUUCUAGUCUUGCAAGCCCCCUGAGGCGUGCAAAACUAGAGUCUAGUUAUGGUAAGGGACAAAAUAUGCCGUUGAGCCGGCAUCCUUAUGUUAGGAUGUAUGUAUAUAUGUACAUAAUAUGGUGGCUUUCACAUCUUAGUGAUAUAAAUAAUGUUUAUUUUCAUACAUAUUUUAUUUCUCAUCCUUGUAUGCUUACAGGAGCUGAAAACAGUAUUGGAAUAAUCCUGCCAGUUCGGCAUUCUCAGGUGAUGCAGUUGAGAUCCAGUUGGACACAUCAGCAGAUCUCCCAGCUGACUUGGAGACCAUGAAUGCAAGGUAUUGGUUUAUUGACAUAAUUGCAAUUAAACAAUUUGAAGAGGAAAGCAUUGACUAUGAAAGAUUUUGCUGCUUUUUUCCCCCAAGUUUUUGAUUUUUUUUCCCCCCACAGUUUGGGUAGUGCAAAAAAACAUAGAUGAUAAUAUAUGUUAUUUGAGGUGUGUUCUGCCUAUGUUGAAUGUAGGCGAUUCAGAAAUGUUGGAAGACUUGUGCAAAUGAGUGAGAGUGAACUUGGUGCCCAGCUAGGGGUUUGAAAAGAUCUUGGAGGAAGAGCCACAAGUGAUACCUUCUCUGUGGCUUGCUGUUGCUGUAGCAUUCAUCCCUCCUUGCUGCUGUUAAAGUGUCCGUAUCAGGUGGCAAUAAGGAAAGCAAUGUAGUGGUUGUAUAGUACAGUACUUAAAAUGUUACUGCUGAAAACAUAAAACUGGGCUACACACCUGCUGUUAAACCUCAAUCUCACCCUUAAACCUUUCAGCUGUUGUCAAACCUUGGGAUGAUUCAAUACUAUUUAAAAAGAAAAUAGGUUACGCAAGCAUUUUGAAAGAAAAAAAAUUCCUUCCCCACUGAGGAUGAAAACAGGAGCAUGUUUUCCAUACUGCAGUGUGCUGCAAGAUGCAAAUUGCUAAAACAAGCUUUUCACUCUGAGGCAGUACAGGGACACACACACUUUAACAAGUAAGAACUCAGGUCCCUACUUAAGAGAAAGCCAGUCAGCUCAUGAUCAUAUAAAGCUAUAGAGAGCAGGACCUUCAUUUUGACCUAGAUGGCCUUGUGUAAGGAAAUAAUAUGGACAAUACCCUAAAUUCUGUCCUGGCUAAUCUGCUUUGAAAAUGUGCAUACUACAUUUUCUGAGAGUGUUUUCCUGUGCUCUCAGGAAGGAAUUGGAGUCUUAAGCUAACUUUAUUUCAUAUAUAUAUACACCUAUAUUAUCACAUAUUAUUCCAAUUUAAAAGACGAGUCUAUGUUUUCUUGUUCAUGGAAAGAAACAGCUUU
ensembl:lncRNA